UGUGUGUGUGUGUGUGCGCGCGCGCGUGUGCACUCUCGUACACGUGCUCAAUGCUGUUUGUGUGAAUGUCUGUUUAUAUCCUGACUCAGGUACAGGAAGACAAACCACCUGUUUUCACCCACAUAUUUACUAGGAAGGAGUUGGUCUCACAGAAGUAGAGGGGGUGGGCUUGUUGGAAGAGUAGAGAUCUGUGAUGUAGUAGUGAUCAAAAAGAUAACAUUCCUCCAGCCCAGUAGAAGGGUAAGUUCAGAGACUUGUGCUAUGUGGUGGCUGUAAUUCUCAGUGCCGCCUUACGGUCCUGAAGAAUGCUUAGAAAAUGGAUAUUAUAUUCAUCCCCCAAACAUGAGAGCUAUAUGAGGUGAUAGGUAUGUUCACUGGCUAGAUUUCAUCAUUUCACAAUGAAUGUACCUCAACAGCACCAUGCUGUUCACUGCACAUAAAAUUUUACCUGUUAGAUUUCUAAAAAGAUUACACAAAACCUCUGUCCCCUGGAUGAAUCGUGAUUAAUCUCAGGACUAGCGAUACGGUUCAGUUGACAGGGUUGCUGCCUAACUAGCACACAUGAAAUCCAAGGUUCGUGCCCUGGCACUGCAUAAAACCAAGCAUGGUGGCUCCUGCCUGUAACUACAGCAUUUGAGAAGUAGAGGCAUGGCGUUCAUAGUUCUUGGUCUGUAUAGUAAGCUCAUGGCCUGCUGUGGGUACCUGAGACCCAAUCUCAAACAAAACUACCUCAUGGAGCUAGUCAACGUCCAUCCCUGGUCAAAGGUGAGGCUAGUAGUAGCAAACUUCUAGGUAGUGUGAGUUUGUUAUUUCCUCCCUCGGUGCAGGUUCUUGGAAGGGGGGCUCAGCCUCUAAGCAUUGCUCAGCGCUGUAUUGGAAACUCUUCUUGCCAAUCAGGAUCUUGAACUUGACCUCAGGUGGAAGCGAACAUUGUUUUCUGAGGAGGGAGGAGGGGCCUGGCAGAACGUGAGUCAUGGCUUUGCAACAGUGUUUACCCUUUCAGAAUAUGAGCAGAGUCAUACUUAACACAGACUACACACACGAUGGUUUUCGGCCUCCAAUUUAUUGGGCACCUUUGUACCCAACCAUCAUCGUAAACUGACUGCCUGGGACCUGUUGGUCCUUUUGAUGGCAGUAGGUUUCAGUUUUCAAUUUGCCACCGCUGAUUCAGGAAGCUUGCUGGCACGAAGAUACUGAGCCUACACGAGACUUGCUAGCUCCAUGCAGCUGAUGAAUGGCAGUCGGCACGUUUUGCAAACGUUUUGGCAGAUCCGUUCCACCAUUUAGGUACUAUAAACAGCCUGAGACCGACCUACACUUAAGGCUUCACACACAAGUUUGAGAACUAACAGAUAAAAGUAUUAGCUCUAAUAUAAAAAGCAAGAUGAAAGGUGGAGAUAGUUGUAUAGACCUUCAGAUCGAUUUCUCCAGUGACGCUAGACAGGUUGAAUUUGAGAUGUAUCUUCCUGCUGCAAGACAUGGCCCUCCUGACUCAAUGCACCCUGCGAGAUAAGGCUGGACUUGCUGCCCUGGUCAGAGGAUGGCAUCUGCCUAGAUCCCUGAGAGGGAAUGAAUUCUGAGAUGGCAUCUGGGCUCUGCAUUAUGGACUGGUGAUGACUGCAAUGCCCGCAGGCACUCAGCUGCUGCUACUCACUCUCCAACUUAUGGCUGCCCUUGAAAUCUGGUUUUCAGAGGAUACUACACAAACCCACUGUGAUCCUGAACUCCCGUGUCCAGAGCAUACAGGACCCACACUAAGUUAAACCUUGACAGUCUGAUUUUGUUGUGUUAUUCUUUAUUCUUCCACGGUUGCCUAGCCUUCCUCCUGUUGAAGUCUUGGCUUCCUAACUAGAUUAUACACCCCAGGAAUGACUUCCAUCAUGCAGUGUCUUACUGCGGUAGCUUUGCAUUGGCAGACACUUGAGAAAUACAUUUUCAGAGUGGGUUAGCUCGCUGGUGUGUUGAUGGGGGAGGAACAGAAGCAAUCAUCGAAGGGUCACAGGCCAAUCUUACCUGUUGUCCAGCCCACUCUGCCUUCCUCCUUCCAGGCCAUGGCUCGCCCAGUUCAAAUGUGAUUUGGUACCUACAUAUAAUGUAUAAUGAUUAAAUCAAGGCAACUGGCCUUUCCAACCAAGCGUCACUCGAGGAAAGCAAUUCCUAAGUCAAUGUGGGCCACAGAGAAUUACAGCCCUGCUUCCUCACUGUCAAGUUGACUGUGCUUAGAAUCACCUCUGAGAUGCAACUCUGUGUAAUGAUAAAUCUUUCCACCGAGUUGCCCGAGCCCCGCUGCCACGUGGGCGCCCAAAAUAGCACACAGAGAUUUAUAUUAGGUACAAUGCUGCUGGCCAAUGAGUAGGAUUGAAGGAUGUCCCCCGUCAGCUCUGGGUGUAUCUUUUAGAAGAAUUUGCUUCUUGUUGUUAAUUGAAUGUGUUGUUUGACAAUUAGAUACAGGUGUAUAUGUGUUCCCAUUAUCCUUGACUCCAUCUUCUCUUGUCCCCACCCCUGUGAAUUUCCCUCCCUGCCCCCGACUGGUUCUUUCCCCAUGUUCAUGUUUUUUGUUGUCAUCGUUGUUUCCUUUUAUGGCUCCCGAGUUUAAUCUAGGACCUCUGAGUGACCACAGGUUUGGAGCUACACAGUUCACCUGCUGUGUCACCAAUAGGUAUUCAUUUGAAGGUAACAAUUCCAUGGCCCUGAGAACAUCUAGUAGUUCCUCAGGGAGGGGUGGACCCUCCUAAGACCCUCUCCCCUCCAUCAAUAGCCGUCGACAGGUCCAGCCUUGUGUGGGCUCAGAGCAGGAGACCAAGCUUAUAACCAAUGAGCCAUUUCAAUCCCUAGUAAUCCUGUUUGGGUACCCUUAGUUCCUAUGAGAGACCAACCUUUUCCUGCCAUGGGCCCAGGCUUACAUUGGUCUCCUAUCCUCUUUCUGUUCCCUGCGGGUAGAUGUGAGGUGACCGAGUCUAGUUUUCUGAUGAACACCCUGCACCCAUGCUGGGGACUGUGGGAGAGCCUCCCUGCUGUGAAGCCGGCAGGGAAGUGAAUGAGUCAUAACUCACAGGCACAUUUUGUUUCAUGAGUGUUGUCAUAUUGUCUUCCAGAAUGACUGUACCAACUUACACUUCCAUCAGCCGUGCUCAGUGGUUUCUGUUUCCCCAUAGCCUCACCAGCACCUGGUAAUAAGAUGUGUGUGUGUGCAUUUACCAUAAUAACCAUGUCAGGGCAGUUGGUUGACUCUUGUGUUGGUCCCUUUACUUGACACAGAAAAAUCUCCAGUAGAAAGAAAUAUCGGGUAGAAAAGAACACAGCUCUUUCCAGAAACUCCCUAUAGCAUCCCCCCUAAGUCCGUGUUACUGUGUAGCUUGGGGAAGGUGUCCUCCAAGCCAGUCCCCAUCAGAGAUGACAGGAUUGCUGUGGCUGCUUGAAGAAUCGACGAUUCUGAUUGACAAAUACCCCUUUUGGGCACACCCCUGUCUGUCUUAAACCCACACAGGACUGGGACUAAUGCAAUAAGCAGGAGAGCAGAGGCUGACUUCACUCUGGCCAGAUUCUGAAGUGCACACGGCCUGGUCUGUGCAAGCAACCUUCCCUGGGGAAUAGGUCUGUCCGGCUCAUGUUAGAAACCUAAUGUUCUUGAGACCUUUUACGCAGCAGGUAGCCAUCAGACCCGUUCCCGCUCCAGCUGUUUGAGCUGAGGUUUCUGCAAGCUCUCAAUACAGAAAGUUUCAAGGGCAGUGCUCUGGCCCUAUCCAGGACAGGUGGGAGGGACACCUGCCAGGGGCCAGUAUCUCUGUAGGCCACUACUUCCCCUCUCACCCAUGACAUGGACAUUCCAGUAAUCCUUGCAUUUUUCUCUCUGACCAAAGGGGAAAACACUAAUUUUAAGUGAUACCCAAUUGUUAAAAGUUUGUGGACUACUUGCUGUCUGCCAGGUGGCUCGGAGAAUGUUUCAUCCCUAUGGUCCCAUAGAAGUCUCCGGACAACCCUCUAAGAGACCCACUUUCAAGCCGGGAUCUGGUUCCAUAGUGGAGGACUUGCUCAGCAUGCACAAGGCUCUGGGUUCGAUGCCCAGUGCCCAGAUAAAAAAAGAAUUUUAUUUCUGGAAUUUAUUAGCAGGGUGCCUUUAAGCAAGUAACAUCACUGAGCUAUUCCUUGUUAUUAUUUCAAAUCCUCAGCGGGCUGAGACUAUAAAGGAUUUAGAAUUCGCUCAAAUAUUAGACACUUCUUAUAAUCUUAAUUUUAAAAACGGAGAAACCGGGAGGCUCAGAGGUAUCAACUUAUUAAAUUUGCCAGACAGCUCUGAUUAACAGAGCCACAAUUGAAGGCCGGAGUGUCUGAUUCUAGAGCUGCACUUUAAGUAUCCUACUGACUCUGCACAUCAGGUGUUCGAGUAUUCCCAGGAACAGUAUCCCAUCUUCCUCUGCAGGAAAAUCCAUCCCUACUCAGCCACACUUUUUACAAAGAACAUCUCUGCCUCUGACCACAGGCAUAGCAAUGCUUCCAAGACCUGGUCCAUUUCCGUGGUCACCAGAUACAGAGCCACACACCUAGGAGGUUACUCAUGCCAGACAUGGGAGCACCUGUUAGACAUCUCUCGGGCCAAGCUGAAUUCUGUGAAUCAAAGGCUAUAAGGCAACGAUGAUAUUGCCGGUUCUGGGUGUCAAGGAAGGCCCUGGUCCCCCUGACCAGCCCUUUUCACACAGCUCAUAGUGCCUGACACUGUCUAGAACACCACGUGAUUGUGUACAGACUUCAGGUUCCUCAGUAUUCUGGCAUAUGCGAUCCUAACAAUAACCCUAUCUUAUUAUUUUUUUUUUU